ensembl:misc_RNA Metazoa_SRP Metazoan signal recognition particle RNA
GCCAGGCACGGUGGCGGGCGCCUGUAAUCCCGGCUACUCGGGAGGCUGAGGCAGGAGAAUUGCUUGAACCCGGGAGGCAGAGUUUGCAGUGAGCCGAGAUCGCGCCACUGCACUCUAGCCUGGGUGACAGAGCAAGACUCUGUCUCAA